AGCUACAGGCUUAACACAUGCAAGUCGAGGGGCAGCAUGGUCUUAGCUUGCUAAGGCCGAUGGCGACCGGCGCACGGGUGAGUAACACGUAUCCAACCUGCCGUCUACUCUUGGACAGCCUUCUGAAAGGAAGAUUAAUACAAGAUGGCAUCAUGAGUCCGCAUGUUCACAUGAUUAAAGGUAUUCCGGUAGACGAUGGGGAUGCGUUCCAUUAGAUAGUAGGCGGGGUAACGGCCCACCUAGUCUUCGAUGGAUAGGGGUUCUGAGAGGAAGGUCCCCCACAUUGGAACUGAGACACGGUCCAAACUCCUACGGGAGGCAGCAGUGAGGAAUAUUGGUCAAUGGGCGAGAGCCUGAACCAGCCAAGUAGCGUGAAGGAUGACUGCCCUAUGGGUUGUAAACUUCUUUUAUAAAGGAAUAAAGUCGGGUAUGGAUACCCGUUUGCAUGUACUUUAUGAAUAAGGAUCGGCUAACUCCGUGCCAGCAGCCGCGGUAAUACGGAGGAUCCGAGCGUUAUCCGGAUUUAUUGGGUUUAAAGGGAGCGUAGAUGGAUGUUUAAGUCAGUUGUGAAAGUUUGCGGCUCAACCGUAAAAUUGCAGUUGAUACUGGAUAUCUUGAGUGCAGUUGAGGCAGGCGGAAUUCGUGGUAUAGCGGUGAAAUGCUUAGAUAUCACGAAGAACUCCGAUUGCG
rnacentral:rRNA from 1 species